UACAGAGGUCCCAAGCGUUGUUCGGAUUCACUGGGCGUAAAGGGUGCGUAGGUGGCGUGGUAAGUUUGAUGUGAAAGCUCAGGGCUUAACCCUGAAAUGGCAUUGAAUACUACUGUGCUGGAGGUUUGGAGGGGGGACUGGAAUUCUUGGUGUAGCAGUGAAAUGCGUAGAUAUCAAGAGGAACACCAGUGGCGAAGGCGAGUCCCUGGACAACACCUGACACUGAGGCACGAAAGCUAGGGGAGCAAACAGGAUU
rnacentral:rRNA from 1 species